UCUCUCCAGCACGACCAGAGUUGCGUGGAGUAAACUAGAACCAGCCAACCGGUCUGCUGCUCCAGGGAAAAUAUCUGGUGCACCGCCGACACCCAUCCAUCCCCAUCUCCAUCCAUAUGGCUCGACCGCGGCGACUGUGCUGCUCCGCCGAGACUUGCUCCAUCCCCAUCUGCAUCUGUUUGGGGCACGGCGGCGGCAACGCUGCCGUCGUGAUAUCUACUUGAUUGCCGUCUCCAUCCGUUUGCCGAACGGGUCUUUCACAGCACAGCAAGAUGUCCACCAAUGGCGUCGAGCUCGAUGGGAUGUGUGCUUCGCUCGCGGCAUGGAACAGCUGCGCCUAUCUAGACGAGUCACAGGAUUCGAUGAGCGUCCCAACCAUACCUUUGGCACCGGAGGUGAUGCGCAGCUAGUCGGGGAUGCAGCGAGGGCCGAGGUGUGUUCUGAAGCAACCAAUGGCUGGACACGCAUGUCAGUGAAAAAUUGCUCUGUUUUUGCUCUGCUGCAAUUUUUAGUUUGGGUGCCCCUCACAUGGUAGAUCUAAUUUAUAGUAUGGUUCUUAGGUACAAAAGAGUUUAAGAAGUGUGUUGUUUUUGUUGGGUUUGGUUUGAUGAUCUGAUGCUAGCAUUAGGUAGUAUACUACAUAAUUUGAUGCAGUUUGUUCGAUUUUAUUGAUGAUCUGAUCGUAGCAUUAGGUAGUAAACUGCAACUGGUUGGGGUUUGUUGGAUUUUAUUGAUGAUUUGUUGAUAGCAUUAGGUAGUGAAACACAGAUGGCUGGAGCUUGUUGGGUAUAUUCAGUUGCAGUGACUUAUGUUGUGUUCUUGAGAUGAAAAGUUAGAUUAGGAAGUUUAAUACGAAUAAUGAGGUAUUUUAUGAUGGAAUUAGGGUGAUGGUCUUGGAUUUCUAGUUUGUUUAGAGUACAUUGGAGUUUUGUGGGUGUGCAUUUUAGAUUGGUGUGUGGGCAUCGGAGAGUCUGUGCCAUCAUUGAAUUUAGGAUGGCUUGUUGGAUUAGCAAAGCUUGACCGCGGAGGACUGGAGCUUGUUGGGUAUCUUCAUUUGCAGUGACUUAUAUUGUGUUCUUGAGAUGAAAAGUUGUAUUAGGGAGUUUAAUACGGAUGUAAGAAAAGCGUUAGUGAUAAUGAGGUAUAUUAUGAUGGCAGAAGGUUGGUGUGUUGGAUUUCUAGUUUGCUGAUUGGAAACUAGAGUUUUGUGGCUGCGCAAUUUAGAUUGGUGUAUGGGCAUUGGGGGAUCUGUGCCAUGAUUGAACUUACGAGGAAUUUUUGUCGCCUGGUGCUAUUACUGGUAUACAAGGAUAGUGUUAUUGAUUACGAUCGAUCGAUUGGGUGGGUUAGAUUUAUAUAGUUUUGCUGCAAAAACAUUUCUUGAUAUGUCGCUGAUCAGCAGCUGUGUUGGAUUGUUUGUGAUGUGUGUUGAGUAUAGUCAAUGGCUGGCCGAUUGUUUUUACAACACCUUCAUGCGAGCAGGUCGCCACAAAUUUAUGUAAGGAGGGAAGAUGUUGUAAUUGGUUGUUACGUAUCCGGUUAAUUAUGUAAUUGCAAAACGAUGGUCUUUAAACUGUAUGGGUGAGGAUCGGGAAAGCCCCGGAGGAAAGGGAGAUGAACCCAAAUAGGAAAUCAGCUCUUGAAUUGUCUCUCCG